rnacentral:lncRNA from 1 species
AAACAUGUUCAGAUGCUUACAGUUUUCUGUUGACAAUUUUAUUUUUGCAUGUCACACAUUGCAUUUAUAGACCUGCUGUUGUAGUUUUUAGUUUACUUGAACUGCAGAAAGACCAGUCAGUUGACACUUCUUGUUUUAUAGUAUGUUAAGGCAGGUUCCUUGAAGGAUCCUCUGUUAGAUGACCAUGGAGAUUUUAUCAGGAUGUGCACAGCCAUGAAAAAAAUCGGUUUGGAUGAUGAAGAAAAACUUGAUCUAUUUCGAGUCGUGGCUGGUGUCCUGCACCUUGGAAAUAUUGAUUUUGAGGAAGCCGGAAGCACUUCAGGUGGCUGCAAUCUGAAGAACAAAUCCGCCCCCUCAC